AACGCUGGCGGCAGGCCUAACACAUGCAAGUCGAGCGCCCCUCCUUCAAGCGAGCUUGGAGGAUUGCGAUCGAGCGAAGCCGAAGGGCUCGCUUGAUGGAGGGGAGCGGCAGACGGGAGAGUAACACGUGGGAACGUACCCUUUGGUUCGGAACAACCCAGGGAAACUUGGGCUAAUACCGGAUAAGCCCUUACGGGGAAAGAUUUAUCGCCGAAGGAUCGGCCCGCGUCUGAUUAGCUAGUUGGUGGGGUAAUGGCCCACCAAGGCGACGAUCAGUAGCUGGUCUGAGAGGAUGAUCAGCCUCACUGGGACUGAGACACGGCCCAGACUCCUACGGGAGGCAGCAGUGGGGAAUAUUGGACAAUGGGCGCAAGCCUGAUCCAGCCAUGCCGCGUGGGUGAUGAAGGCCCUAGGGUUGUAAAGCCCUUUCGGCGGGGAAGAUAAUGACGGUACCCGCAGAAGAAGCCCCGGCUAACUUCGUGCCAGCAGCCGCGGUAAUACGAAGGGGGCUAGCGUUGCUCGGAAUCACUGGGCGUAAAGCGCACGUAGGCGGAUUGUUAAGUCAGGGGUGAAAUCC
rnacentral:rRNA from 1 species